UACCUUUUUCGGAGGGUAGAAGAAGCAUUCAUGCAUCAGUAGCGAUAAUUAAGGUGAGAAGCCUCAACGCCGAAAACCCAAGGUUUCAUACGCGAUGCUCGUCAUAGUAGGGUUAGUCGGGUCCUAAGUCGAGACUGAAAAGUCUCCCUUUAAUUCAAAUUGGUUAAUUUCCAAUACCAACUUAUAAGCGCGAUUGGGGAUGCUAUAGUUUAUUUGAGCCCAGAUGGUAUUUU
rnacentral:rRNA from 1 species